GUGGGGAAUAUUGGACAAUGGGCGAAAGCCUGAUCCAGCCAUGCCGCGUGAGUGAUGAAGGCCUUAGGGUUGUAAAGCUCUUUCAGUAGGGAAGAUAAUGACGGUACCUACAGAAGAAGCCCCGGCUAACUUCGUGCCAGCAGCCGCGGUAAUACGAAGGGGGCUAGCGUUGUUCGGAUUUACUGGGCGUAAAGCGCACGUAGGCGGAUUGGUCAGUUAGAGGUGAAAUCCUGGAGCUCAACUCCAGAACUGCCUUUAAUACUGCCAGUCUAGAGUCCAGAAGAGGUGAGUGGAACUCCUAGUGUAGAGGUGGAAUUCGUAGAUAUUAGGAAGAACACCAGUGGCGAAGGCGGCUCACUGGUCUGGUACUGACGCUGAGGUGCGAAAGCGUGGGGAGCAAACAGGAUUAGAUACCCCUGUAGUCC
rnacentral:rRNA from 1 species